UACAGAGGUCUCGAGCGUUAGGCGGAAUCACUGGGCUUAAAGCGUGUGUAGGCGGAUCGUUAAGUACCUUGUGAAAUCCCACGGCUUAACCGUGGAACUGCUUGGUAUACUGGCGGUCUUGAGCCAGCUAGGGGCUACCGGAACAAAUGGUGGAGCGGUGAAAUGCGUAGAUAUCAUUUGGAACGCCAAUGGUGAAAACAGGUAGCUGGGGCUGUGCUGACGCUGAGAACACGGAAAGCCAGGGGAGCAAACGGG
rnacentral:rRNA from 1 species